rnacentral:rRNA from 1 species
UGCGUAGGGUGCGAGCGUUGUCCGGAAUUACUGGGCGUAAAGAGCUCGUAGGUGGUUUGUCGCGUUGUUCGUGAAAACUCACAGCUCAACUGUGGGCGUGCGGGCGAUACGGGCAGACUGGAGUACUGCAGGGGAGACUGGAAUUCCUGGUGUAGCGGUGGAAUGCGCAGAUAUCAGGAGGAAGACCAGUGGCGAAGGCGGAUCUCUGGACAGUUACUGACACUGAGGCACGAAGGCCAGGGGAGCAAACGGG